UACAUAUGGGGGCAAGCGUUUGUUCGGAAUUACUGGGCAUAAAGGGUGCGUAGGUGGUCUAUUAAGUCAGGGGUGAAAUCCCGCGGCCCAACCGUGGAACGGCCUUUGAUACUGAUGGACUUGAGUGCGUGAGGGGUAGGGGGGAACGAGCAGUGUAGCGGUGAAAUGCGUAGAUAUUGCUCGGAAGGCCAGAGCCGAAGGGGCCCUACUGGUACGUAACUGACACUGAGGCACGAAAAGCGUGGGGAGCAAACAGG
rnacentral:rRNA from 1 species